rnacentral:rRNA from 1 species
GAUGAACGCUAGCUACAGGCUUAACACAUGCAAGUCGAGGGGCAGCGGGAUUGAAGCUUGCUUCAAUUGCCGGCGACCGGCGCACGGGUGAGUAACGCGUAUCCAACCUUCCGUACACUCAGGGAUAGCCUUUCGAAAGAAAGAUUAAUACCUGAUGGUAUGAUGAGAUCGCAUGGUAUCAUCAUUAAAGAUUUAUCGGUGUACGAUGGGGAUGCGUUCCAUUAGGUAGUAGGCGGGGUAACGGCCCACCUAGCCUACGAUGGAUAGGGGUUCUGAGGGGAAGGUCCCCCCACAUUGGAACUGAGACACGGUCCAAACUCCUACGGGAGGCAGCAGUGAGGAAUAUUGGUCAAUGGGCGAGAGCCUGAACCAGCCAAGUAGCGUGAAGGAUGAAGGUCCUACGGAUUGUAAACUUCUUUUAUACGGGAAUAAAGUUUCCUACGUGUAGGAUUUUGAUGUACCGUAUGAAUAAGCAUCGGCUAACUCCGUGCCAGCAGCCGCGGU